CCUGUGAAUAGUUGAGGAUUACUGAUGCUAUAGUUAAAAAAUAAUUUGAUCCUAACUUUCCCCAUAUUCUACUUGAACAGAUUAUUCUGCCACCUGUGGUCUUCAAAAUUGAGACACACUGACUUGCCUGUCAUAAAGUAAACCCAGUGCAUCAAAUGUAUCUGGCAGUACCCAUUUUAUCUUGCUCUCUUUAAAGAAUGUAUUGGCUACUAGAAAUUCUGAAACUCUUCAACUUUUAACUUUUCCAGGACAUUCCUCAACAUCUAGUACACACUACCCCAACUUGUGAAAAUUUGGUUUGAAACACUUGUGUGAAAACUGAUUUCACAAUAAUAAUCCUGACCACAGAGAGCCAGAGCCUCCUGUAUAACCAACCCACACAGGAAGAAAGCUGCACAGCACAGUUCAGGAGUGUCUCUGCUGUCACCGGUAGGCAAAGGAGGCGGACAAAUCUCAGAUCCUUGUGGGAUGAUCACAGCAAGCCUGUGCUUUCAACUCCACUGAAGAUCAGACUGAUCCUGGUUUCUGGCUGUGAGGUUGGAACCUGAGUUGUUCAGCCCACAACACUCUGG
rnacentral:lncRNA from 1 species